rnacentral:rRNA from 1 species
GAUGAACGCUGGCGGCGUGCCUAAUACAUGCAAGUCGAACGAACAGACGCGUAGCUUGCUCCACUGACGUUAAAGGCGGAAGUGUGAGUAACAUGUGGAUCACCUACCUAUAAGACUGGGAUAACUUCGUGAAACCGGAACUAAUACCGGGUAAUAUAUUGAACCGCAUGGUUCAAUAGUGAAAGACGGUUUUGCUGUCACUUAUAGAUGGAUCCGCGCUGCAUUAGCUAGUUGGUAGGGUAACGGCUUACCAAGGCAACGAUGCGUAGCCGACCUGAGAGGGGGUACGGCGCCACUGGGACUGAGACACGGCCCAGACUCCUAGGGGAGGCAGCAGUAGGGAAUCUUCCGCAAUGGGGGGAAUCUUGACGGAGCAACGCCGCGCGGGUGAUGAAGGUCUGCGGAUCGUAAAACUCUGUUAUUAUGGUAGAACAAUUGCGGAAGUAACUAUGCACUUCGUGACGGUACCUAAUCAGAAAGCCACGGCUAACUACGUG